rnacentral:lncRNA from 1 species
GGGCUGCCAGGGCGGGCCAGGGCCGGCUUUAUCCUGAAUGCUGCAGCCUGUUCCCUGACUGGCCGCGCAGAAGGAAGAAAAUCUUGUGGCCUAUCUGUCUGGGACCAAGCAGAGUCUGAAAGGCUUCCUGUGACAUCUACACAGGCUGUGAGGAAGUAGAGAUGUCACAGAACGUUCCAGGAACGUUAGACUAUGUUUCAGGCAGUGCCUAUGACUUGGGACAGUGAUGUAAGUCAUCAUCUUGGCCUUUCGAUAUGAGACAAGCAGCGAACCCAGUAGCCACCUUUGUAUCACAGAGAUGCAGGUUUGCAAAGAAGAAUGGAACUGUUAAAGAGCCUUCCUAGUGGCUACCAGGAGGAAAUACGUGCAGUGAUAACUGGUGUCUGAGGGGGAAGAUGUUUUAUGUAUUGUGGGCACUCUGUGGCCAUCUCAGGAAGAGCAUUUGUGCAAGCUCUUCUCUGUACAACAGAAGAUGCCAGGUUAUCAAUACAUCAUUUACAAAUUGUUGGUGUUUAUUCACUGAAGCACAAUAGCGUCAGGAGAAACAACUGAGCUGGAAAAGCUUUAUCCAAGUGUCAACCCCCGACUGGAACAUGAAGUAGAAAUUGACAAAUAUAUUUCCCACACAGGACACAUUUAUUUUCCUUGAAUAAUUAUUUAUCUCCAUCUUGUCUUUAAAAUGAUUUAUGACAUCUUGUGCCAAAUAUUAAAAGUCCGCACCCCGAUGAGCUAAAAACCAAGACAUCGUUCUAUCUUAAGGGUAUAAAUAUUUUGUACAUCAUAUGAAUUAAUGUACAUGUGGGGCUGAACAAAACCAGCAACCUGAACUGAUGGUAUUAGAGUUCUUUCUCUCCUCACAAAUCUGCUUUCA